rnacentral:rRNA from 1 species
AGUCGAACGGGAAUCUUCGGAUUCUAGUGGCGGACGGGUGAGUAACGCGUAAGAAUCUAACUUCAGGACGGGGACAACAGUUGGAAACGACUGCUAAUACCCGAUGUGCCGAAAGGUGAAACCUAAUUGGCCUGAAGAAGAGCUUGCGUCUGAUUAGCUAGUUGGUGGGGUAAAGGCCUACCAAGGCGACGAUCAGUAGCUGGUCUGAGAGGAUGAGCAGCCACACUGGGACUGAGACACGGCCCAGACUCCUACGGGAGGCAGCAGUGGGGAAUUUUCCGCAAUGGGCGAAAGCCUGACGGAGCAACGCCGCGUGAGGGAGGAAGGUCUUUGGAUUGUAAACCUCUUUUCUCAAGGAAGAAGUUCUGACGGUACUUGAGGAAUCAGCCUCGGCUAACUCCGUGCCAGCAGCCGCGGUAAUACGGGGGAGGCAAGCGUUAUCCGGAAUUAUUGGGCGUAAAGCGUCCGCAGGUGGUCAGCCAAGUCUGCCGUCAAAUCAGGUUGCUUAACGACCUAAAGGCGGUGGAAACUGGCAGACUAGAGAGCAGUAGGGGUAGCAGGAAUUCCCAGUGUAGCGGUGAAAUGCGUAGAGAUUGGGAAGAACAUCGGUGGCGAAAGCGUGCUACUGGGCUGUAUCUGACACUCAGGGACGAAAGCUAGGGGAGCGAAAGGGAUUAGAUACCCCUGUAGUCCUAGCCGUAAACGAUGGAUACUAGGCGUGGCUUGUAUCGACCCGAGCCGUGCCGAAGCUAACGCGUUAAGUAUCCCGCCUGGGGAGUACGCACGCAAGUGUGAAACUCAAAGGAAUUGACGGGGGCCCGCACAAGCGGNGGAGUAUGUGGUUUAAUUCGAUGCAACGCGAANA